rnacentral:misc_RNA from 1 species
GUAGGUGAACCUGCGGAAGGAUCAUUAUUGAAUAAAUCUGGCGUAGGUUGUAGCUGGCUCUCUGGAGCAUGUGCACACCUCGUCACCUUUAUCUUUCCACCUGUGCACACACUGUAGUCCUGGAUACCUCUCGCUGAAAGGCGGAUGCGGAGGCUGCUGUUGCCUUUAAAAUGGCUCAGCUUCCUCUGAAUUUCCAGGUCUAUGCCCUUUUAAAACACCCCAAACGAAUGUUACAGAAUGUAAUCAACGG